rnacentral:piRNA from 1 species
UAGGUCUAUCAUUCAAAAA